rnacentral:rRNA from 1 species
UACGUAGGGUGCAAGCGUUAAUCGGAAUUACUGGGCGUAAAGCGCGUGUAGGCGGCUAAGUAAGUCGGGCGUGAAAUCCCCGCGGCUCAACCGUGGAAGUGCACUCGAAACUGCAUAGCUAGAGUCCUGGAGAGGAAGGUGGAAUGCUUGGUGUAGAGGUGAAAUUCGUAGAUAUCAAGCGGAACACCGGUGGCGAAGGCGGCCUUCUGGACAGUGACUGACGCUGAGACGGCGAAAAGCGUGGGG